GUUCGAGGUACAAGGCUGUACAAGAAAAAUGGUUUCCUGACCUGGCAUUCUCUGGUACACACUGAUAAUGGGGAACUAAACAACUACAGCAAACACAAGUAGUCUCCAUAGUCGCUGAUAAUGAACAACGCCGACCAGGAAAACAACAAUAUCAACAAUGAUGCCAACAGGAGACGCAACAGUAAUGGAGCUGGUGGGCGGGCACAGCCCAACCCCAUCCUGCAUGUCCGAGACAGGCUGUUCCAUGCCUUAUUCUACAGAAUAGCAAUAACAUAUGCCAGAGCCUUUCCCCGCCCUGUCAGACGGGUGCUAGAGUGCGCCAUCUUGCUGAAGGCGUUGACAGUACUGGGUAUUUUGGUGUACAUACAUGUUGUGUUUGCGAGGACUCCCAUCAACUGUCUGCAAAGUGUUCAGAAGUCCUGGCCAAGACAUGGCAUCCUCAGAGUGGAGAUCGUCAAGAAUGCCUCGGCGAACUACAGCAUCAUAAACUCAUAUGAGAAAGAGUAUUCAGAUUUUUCCCUCUAUUUGGACAACAUAGCUGAUGGCAUAGGCUAUCCUGGUGCAUUAAAUGGGGACGAAAAUGCUGAGAAUGAAACUGAAAUUGCUUCAAAUUCGACGGAUGAAGCAUUGACCCAGGAAGAGGGGAAUGAGACGGAAGGGAAUGGUACUGUUAUUGGGGAGGAGGAGGAGGCGGAGGUACUGGUGCUGGAUGAGGUAUUGGACAAGGUGGUGGACUACUCUGCAGAUCACAACAGCAACAACAUACCUGAGGAUGCUACAGGGGAACAUCUCAAAGACACUUUCAGUGAAUUAGAAAUGUUGGCCAAGGCUGUGUGGCCUGAGGAGAAGUACAUUGUGGAGUAUGCCCUGGAGUAUGGCUUUCUCCGACUGUCGCCCAAGACGAGGCAGCGGCUCAACAUCACCGUCAUGCUGGUGACUCUCGACCCCCUGAAGGACGAGUGUUUUGGGGACAGCUUCAGUCGCUUCCUGCUGGAGGAAUUCCUCGGAUAUGACGACAUCCUCAUGUCCAGCAUCAAGCAGCUGGCCGAGCAGGAGGAAAACAAAGGCUUCCUGAGGAAUGUUGUGACCGGGGAGCAUUACCGGUUUGUCAGCAUGUGGAUGGCACGGAGCUCCUACAUCGCUGCAGCCUUCAUCAUGCUUGUCUUUACUGUGUCAGUGUCAACACUGUUGAGGUAUUCUCACCACCAGAUCUUCCUCUUCAUAGUUGACCUACUGCAGAUGCUGGAGAUGAAUGUGACAGUUGCCUUCCCAGCUGCUCCCCUGCUCACGGUCAUCCUGGCUCUUGUUGGAAUGGAAGCCAUAAUGUCCGAGUUCUUCAAUGACACAACAACAGCUUUCUACAUCAUCCUGAUAGUGUGGAUAGCUGACCAGUAUGACGCUAUCUGCUGCCACACCAACAUCAGCAAGAGACAUUGGCUCAGGUUCUUUUACAUGUAUCACUUUGCCUUCUAUGCCUAUCACUACCGGUUCAACGGUCAGUACAGUGGCUUGGCUCUCUUCACCUCUUGGCUGUUCAUACAGCACUCCAUGAUCUACUUCUUCCACCACUACGAGCUGCCUGCCAUCCUCCAGCAGGCUCGCAUACAGGAGCUGCUGGCUCAGCCUCACAACCAGGACGCCCACAACAACAACGCCCAGCCCAACGCCACUGCUGCCACAGCCGCAGCCGCUGCCGCUGCCAACAUUGAUGAGCAGCUUCGCGCCAACCUCGGGCCUGUGGACAAUAACGUCGCUGGGAUAAACAAUGUACAGAAUGCAAGUCCCGCCAGUGCUGAGAAUGUCACACAGGGUCAGGAAACUGGGCAGGGGUCAGGUCAGGGCUUGGAGCCACAGCUGGAAGGGACUGUGGACAACCCUGAUGACCAGAGAAGCAUUGAGAGACGUGUGAAUGAUCUUCUGUCAGCUUUGAAUCGACCUUCUACUGAUGGUCAAACAACCAAUACCAGGGAGUUUUCUGUGGACAGGGUGCGUGUUUACACACCAGGGACGUUCAUGAGGAAUUUUCUACGCUUUCGGGGCAAUUCUGCUCAAAAUCCUCCUAAUAAUCCUAUGCCAAGUCCAUCUCCAAGACCAGAUUCACAAAACCUUUCCAGUAACAACCCCCCUGUUUCUCAACCUGAAGCCAAUCCUUCUGGAAACAAACCUAAUUCUUUGACUGAAGAUGAAAUAAGUCUGCAUGAUAAUAAAACACUGAACAGCUCUAGCCAUGUGUCUGAACCUUUACCAGCAAGCAGUUCAGACAAUCCCUCCACAUCAGGGGGCACAGAGCUGACGUCGGGGGGUACAUACUCACUGUCAGGGGAUACAGAGCCAACAUCGGGGGGUACAUACACACUGUCAGGGGGUACUGACUCACAGCUGUUUGAUCUACCAAGGGGAGAUAACUCCAUCAUGACAGCUCACUCUCCUACCUGUGCAAACCCAGCAAUGUCUUCGAGCAUGGACUCCCAUUCUGAUAAUUCUCAGACAUCAGUGAAAGAUGUAUAUAGUAGACAACCUAUACACCAUAUUGUUGAAAACACUGCCAGUUUAGGGAACUCAGUGCCACGAGAUAACUUGUCUGCAAGUUCACCAGACAGGUUGCCUUCAAAGACCAGCGAGGAGACAUGUGGACAUUCUACACAUAUAUCUGAAGCUUCCAGAGACACCUGAUAGUGAGGCAACAUGGAGCUUCAGUUGUCUUCAGGAGAAACCUGCAUCAAAAUUAAAAAACAAUGUAAAGGCGAUACCUUUUUUUAAGGAUUGGUUUACGGAGUCACCAACCCUCAAACAAUUAGCAUCGGAAAAAUCUGUCUAAAAGUAAUUUUUCUCUUUUUACCAAAUGCAAGCUUAUGUGGUCAUAUUGGUCACCUUAAAUUAGUUUGCAUGAAAGUUGAAUUGCAUGACAAACAAACUAGGGCCAUGAUUGCUUUAUGCAUGUCGUCCCUGGGUACAAGCUAAACAAACCCUGCAUGUGUGGCAGUAUUCAGAGACUCUCUUGAAGACUCCAGCCACCCCACCAAAAAACCCAACAAAAACCAACAAAGAAUAACCUGUCUUUUGUUGAUGUUUAUGACAAAGAUUUCCACGUGAACAUCGUAAACCAAGAUAUGAAAAAAGUCUGGCCUAAUAAGUAGUAUCUAAUAUAUUCUCUAAUGUGACCGUGUGGCAUUCACUUUUCUGUAUAUUAAAGGUAACUAUUUAUGGAGAGAAAUGUUUAUUAAAUGAGAUGUGUGUAAUACAUAAUGAAUACAGUUAUUGAAUAAGUAUAUUUGGAAUUUAUGGUAUUUUAUAAAGAAUAAAAUAGCAUUCUGGUUGGUCUCAUGGUCAUAUAAGUAAAAUGAUCUUGUCAUGGUUAUGGAGAUAGAUGUGAUACUGGGAGAUGUUUUGCAUGCAGAUUUUAUUUAAAAGAGUUUGAGCAAAUGUUUCAUAGAAAUGCUAUUUAUGUAUGUAUCAUUAUUAAUCCAAGUCUGUUCAUAAAUCAUUUCCAUAAGCUUGUGAUGUCUAAAUGUAGCAGUUAUUCUUAGAAAGACACUUUGAGUUGAGUAAGACAUAAGAUGGACUUUAACUACUGAGAUGAGUAUGGGUUUCAUGGCUGAAGCAGAGGAACAAGCUAGGGCAAGGGCAAGGGCAAGGGCAAGGCCAAGGCCAAGGCCAAGGCCAAGGCCAAGGCCAAGGGCAUGACACCAAAGAAUCAUCAUUUCUAGACAUUUAUGGUAAUUAGAAGAAACAAUUUCCUUGAUGUGUCCAGAAAUAUAUUGAUAUGUGGGAAGAACUAAGGACACUGCAGAAGUCGCGGCAGGUGAACUUUCCAAUCAUCCAGUAGGCAUUGAGGCUUCCAGAUUCUCAGUACUGAGUGAGCAAAGCAUUCAUACAGGAAUAUCUGAUUAAUUUAUCUCGAAUACAAAUAUGAUCAGGGAGUGCUGAAUGCAAAAAAAUCAAUCAGCGAUAUUAUUUUGUGGAUAUUUUAUAUGUCCUGUUUCUGAGCGCCAUGUUCUACAUCCGAACAGGUGUAUUAUCAAGGGUAUAUUUGUGUUCAGGGGCAAGUUUCCUUUGCUGAGAUCACAAUUUCCUUAUUGCGGUGACAUGUCAUUUAUUUAUAUACAUGUCACAUUUUAUUAGCUCAAGAACCCAUGCAUUGAUCAUUAGGAUUGGGAGGUGAAAGUUUGAUUUCACCUGACAUUGGAGUAAAUGAUCUGAUAUUAAUGAGAUUUUUUUUUUAGUAAUAUUUGUAGUAAAAACAUAUUUUGGGACACAGGUGGUGGCCGAGCUGUCUGAAAUCAACCUCAUAGAGCCACAUGUUGCUGUACGGGUCAGUAUCUCAGUGACCAGGUUCCAUAUCGUGCUUGAGUAAAACUUGCAAAGACUUACAACUUGCCCCAGUCUGGUUCCUGUUUAAUUGUUCUGUGAAACAGCCCAAUGUGAAGCAGUCUUUACGUCACUCUUCAUACAGGAGUGGUGGCAGUUGUAGCGUGAAAUAACUCUGGAGCAUAGGUUAUACUAGGGCCACACUUUAUCAUUUUAUCUUUCACAGACACAAGGUCGGUUGAAAUAAAAAUAAAUAUAAAUGUCAAUCAUUUUUUUAUUUUUUUUAAAGUCAUUCUGCUGUGGAGUUCAAACUGCAGCUGGAUUCUUGAAUCACUGAUAGUGAUGUAGACAUGGAGGUCAUAAAUAACAUUUUGUAUUGUAUAAGAUGGUCUAUAUUACUAACAAGGGACAUAAUAAAAAUAAAUAUUUUUAUGUUUCAGAAAUAAAUUAGACUGGCUGCUUUUCAGUUGUGGCAGGCCCGGGAAACGAAAAAUAUAAAAUGUAUAGCCUAAGAGUAUUGUAGAACUUUGUGAAACAUUACAUUAGCUCUGGUAAUCUGAGGACAGAAUUAUUUAUUUCAUAAAAUUUCACAGGGAACUGUUUGGACAAUCAUUAAUGUCAUCCAUUAUCUUAAUUAUUGAAUUGAAUUAUUUGACAUGUGAACUAUGAUAAUAAUAUUUUGUAAACAGCUGAAGAAAUGUCUAACACUUGACUUGCUCAAUUCAAUUCCUGUAUGUGUUGCAAUUACUGAAUCAAAUACUUCACCCAUUAACCUUGGAAUGCUUGGCCCACUGUGUUUCAUUGUAAAUACCUCAUAGGAAGCACCUGCUUUUCUGUUUAGAAAUGUAUGCAUAUUAGACUUUAUAUAUUCAUUUGGGAAUAUUGCCACAGCAUGCAGCUUUCAUGAAUUAUGAAAAGGUUAAAUGAUAAAUGUCUUGAGUUUCUGGCUAUAUCAGUAAUUAAUAUUGGAAGUAUUCCGUUUGGUUAUGUAGAGUAGCUUCAUGAUUGAUAUUUGUAAUUCCAAAUUUAUUUGAAUGAACUUCAGCUUGUUAAUAACCUGCUUGCAUAAAGAGUUGUUAUUGCCAAAGUGUCUUUCAUUGUAUUGCCAUCAGUUCCACCAUUUGUUUCAUGUGUAGCGAUUGUUUCAUAUACUGCAACAUGUAUCUGGAUGUAAAUUUCAUUGAUCAGGUUUGAUUGACAUAUUGACAGAAACAGGAUUUGUACCACUUUGUGAAUGUUGAUCAUCUGUGAUUUGUGUGUGUAUUAUCUUUUGAAUCAUAAUGUUCCAUGAUGGCGUGCAGCCUUGUGUCUUCUGUAUAUACUGAUUGCUAGCUGCCAGUCCACAGUGGAAUAUAGUUGUGUUGAAUUCAGUGCUCUGUAGUCAUGUCUAGUCAAAGAGUCCAUUCCAGCCCAGGAAUGUCCUGAUGGUCAAGGUAGUCCCCACUGGUCAAGGUAGUCCCUACUGGUCAGGGAAGUCCCUACUGGCCAGGGUCGUCUCUACUGGUCAAGGUAGUCCCCACUGGUCAAGGUAGUCCCUACUGGUCAGGGUAGUCCCCACUGGUCAGGGAAGUCCCUACUGGCCAGGGUCGUCUCUACUGGUCAAGGAUGUCCCCACUGGUCAAGGAAGUCCCUACUGGCCAGGGUAGUCCCCACUGGUCAAGGCAGACCUUACUGGUCAAGGAAUUCCGUCCUACCUGUAAUGAAAUGUAAUACCAGUGAAGAAAUUCCAUAUUUCGUUACUGGUCAAGGAGGUGUUUCCAAAUCUCUCCCUCCUCACCUCAACAUCAUAUUUAACUGAAAACUGUUUAUUCACUUUCUAGACUUUCAGGUGCCUGGCUUAGCAUGGUAUGGGUAUCUGGUAGCUUUAUUGACCUUUCCAAUAAUUUCUGCAAACCAAGUUGUCUGGAACAUAUGACAUUCUGAACCAGGCAGGCCAUACUGAACAGCCAUUUAAUCCCAACAAUGAUGAGCAUCGGGUAUUGUUAACCUCCUCUGCCCUGAUUCUGGUAACUGACAGUAUUAUUGAUACACUCUGAUCUCAUGACAUUCAACAUUACAAUAUGUGUCUCAUGAUGCCAGUCUGAUGUACACAUAGCCUGUACUGUUUCCACUGUGGACUGGCCGAGUCUUGAGUGCAAGGUCAGGUUGAGGUGUACAAGGUCAGUGAUUGUGUCAUGCAUGUUUAGUUUGUGUUGAUGGGUGCUUGCCGAGUUGUUCAUUACGAUGUACAUAUGUCAUUUCAUUGCUACUGAUACUAAGCAUAUGUGUCAAGGAGUUUUCUUAUUUGUAUUCACUGAUCAUUAACCAAUGUUAAUCUUUAAUUACUAUCAAAAAAUCUUUUUCUCUUGAUUUUAGGUCAGGAAAACUUUUUGUAUCUACACAAGGCAUAAUUAUUAUUUCAAAGAGAUAUAAGUUACUUGGCAACAGGCUACCAAAGAAUGUGAUCGGUGUCUUUUGAUGUGAACAGUCAUGUUCAAUUGAAAUACAUUAUACUGAUGAACGAAAUUAACAGAGCAGCUCUCGUGUGAUUGUGAAAUUGACAAGUCAUCCCCUCCGUGCACAUGUUGGGUUGCUCUGUGUGCUUGUUGUGUUUAGUUUAACAGGUCAUGACAAGCAUGGGAAUCUUUGCUGGGCUAUGCUAUACAUGUAAAUAACUGUCAGGGUGAUUUAAUGAAAUAAACAGUGUAUAUGAGACAGUCA
rnacentral:misc_RNA from 1 species